rnacentral:rRNA from 1 species
AUUGAACGCUGGCGGCAUGCCUUACACAUGCAAGUCGAACGGCAGCGGGGGAGAAGCUUGCUUUUCCUGCCGGCGAGUGGCGAACGGGUGAGUAAUACAUCGGAACGUGCCCUGUAGUGGGGGAUAACUAGUCGAAAGAUUAGCUAAUACCGCAUACGACCUGAGGGUGAAAGUGGGGGACAGCAAGGCCUCAGGCUAUAGGAGCGGCCGAUGUGUGAUUAGAUAGUUGGUGGGGUAAAGGCCUACCAAGGCGACGAUCAGUAGCUGGUCUGAGAGGACGAUCAGCCACACUGGGACUGAGACACGGCCCAGACUCCUACGGGAGGCAGCAGUGGGGAAUUUUGGACAAUGGGCGAAAGCCUGAUCCAGCAAUGCCGCGUGUGUGAAGAAGGCCUUCGGGUUGUAAAGCACUUUUGUCCGGAAAGAAAUGGCUCUGGUUAAUACCUGGGGUCGAUGACGGUACCGGAAGAAUAAGGACCGGCUAACUACGUGCCAGCCGCCGCAGUAACAC